rnacentral:misc_RNA from 1 species
GUUGUUUCUUCUACACCAGCACACUUGUCUGCGGGCGUCAGGAAGAGGGCUCUCGGAGCCCUUUUUGCUCUGUUUUCUGUUCUGUUCUGUUCUUGAGAACUUGGACGAAUUUACAGAAGAGCGGUUUGGCUUGAGGGUUUUUUGGGAGUUGAAUUUCAGGGUCUGUAUUUCAAUGGUUAAUGCUCAAUCUCCAAAGGUGAACAGUUCUCUUCAUCAUCUGGAGUUGCCCACCAUGAAUAUUGGUGAUAGCGUAGUGACGAAGAAGCUGAGGAUAAAAAUUUCUUCCAAGGGGAUGCGAACUGAACCUAGGGGAAGCUCUGAGAUGAGUAUAAAGGUGAAACUACCUAUGCAGCCCGACUCUAAGAAACGUGAACCUCCGUUGGUGAUCGACAAUGGAAGAGAGAAAAGGCGGAAAAUGGACCGGACUGUAAAGCAGCAAUGCGUUAACAUUCUGAAAGCCCUGAUGGUUCAUCCUAGUGGGUGGCCCUUCCUUGUACCAGUGGAUCCAAUCCAAUAUAACAUUCCUGACUACUUCACUAUAAUUAGAAAACCAAUGGAUUUGGGAACAGUCAAAGCUAAAUUGGAUGGCAAUCUCUACUUUGAUGUCGAUGAAUUUGCUGCUGAUGUGAGGUUGACGUUUGCAAAUGCCAUGAAGUAUAAUCCUCCUAAUAAUGAUUUUCACCUCAUGGCUAAGAGGUUAGACAAUAUUUUUAAUCAGAGAUGGAAGUCGUUGGAAGGUAAGUGGAAAGCAGAGAGCAAAAAACUCAGUCAGGAUUGUGUUUCAAGUGGUAAAGAAAAUCACUCUAAGAAUACAAGGGAGACUUUCUUUAAGAAAUCUGCACAAUGUGCUAAUGGUCUGAACAAGAGGCCAAUGCCUUUGGAGGAGAAGCAAAAGCUGAAGAAAGAAGUUGUUGAUUUACUUAGGGGAAAUGUUAUCAAGAACAUGCAGAAUGCUCUCCAAAAGUUUGGAUUGAUGGGUCUUAAAGAAGAGAAGGUUAACCUGGACCUGGACAAGUAUGAUGAUGAAACACUAUUGGAGUUAAAGAAGGUGGUUAGAGCGUAUUCCAAUUUAACUACAGAAAAGGCAGAGCCCGCUAGCGUGAAACAAAGUGGUGGGUGUCUGUCAUCCAUGGAGUCGGUCCCUAAAGAUAGUAGCACAAGUUCUAUUUGCUCUGUCAAUACCAAGCGACAAGCAAACAUUGUUGCUUGCCACCUUCAAGGUGUUGAUACCCAUGCUCUUCCUAGGAAUUUUCCUACAAAAAGUAAGCUAGAUCGAGAUUAUUCUGGUGUUGCCAAAAGGGAAAGAGAAGUGACAAACUCAUUGGCAUCAGUUCCAUGUAGAACUGAUUUGAACCCUCAUGAUGGUCGAGGUACCCUUCAUGAAGAAAACCCAUGUUCUAGUCCAGGUAGAUCUACAUGUGCUUCCGCUGUUCCAUAUGGUGAAGGCUGGGAUCCUCUUAUGAACUUGGAUCUUUCCCCGAGCAAGGCGCUACGUGCUGCAAUGCUUAAGAGUCGAUUUGCUGACACCAUCAUCAAAGCUAAACAGAAAUCGCUUCCAGUUGAUUGUGAUAAGGCUGAUUUGCAUAGAAUGCAACUGGAAAGAGCACAACUGGAAAAGCAGCAGCUCGAAGAGAAAGCCCGCAUUGAGGCAGAACUUAAAGCUGCUGAAGUUGCCUCUCGGAGGAAAGCAGAGGCUGAGUUAAAGUUGCAGCGGGAUAGACAAAGGGAAGCUGCUCGGAUUGCUCUUCAAAAGAUGGAAAGAACAGUUGAAUUUGAAGACAAUUUGAAGAUACUAAGAGAUCUAGAGAAACUAUGUAAAUGCUGUUCAGAAGCUGAGAAUUUGAGUGGUAAUGGAGAUGGAUUCACUAUCAUAUUGGGGGAGAACCCUCUGGAAAGGCUUGGCUUAUGCAUCAAAGAGGACUACUUAUAUGAUGAUGAAGAUGAAGAUGCAAUAUUGAGUGGUGGUGGAGAUUGGGAAGAUGGAGAGAUCUUGUGAUAAUAGCGCAUUUUUGUGAAACGUUUCUUGUUUAUACUAGCCUAGCCUGCUUCUCCUUGUCUAUAUGCACCGAUUUUAUCUCACCCUUAUUCCAGUUUCAUAGGAG